rnacentral:rRNA from 1 species
UACGUAGGGUGCGAGCGUUAAUCGGAAUUACUGGGCGUAAAGCGAGCGCAGACGGUUAUUUAAGCCAGAUGUGAAAUCCCCGAGCUUAACUUGGGACGUGCAUUUGGAACUGGGUAGCUAGAGUGUGUCAGAGGGAGGUAGAAUUCCACGUGUAGCAGUGAAAUGCGUAGAGAUGUGGAGGAAUACCGAUGGCGAAGGCAGCCUCCUGGGAUAACACUGACGUUCAUGCUCGAAAGCGUGGGUAGCAAACAGG